GGCUCAGUAACACGUCGAUAAUCUGCCCUUAGAUUUAGGAUAAGCUCGGGAAACUGAGUCUAAUACUAAAUAGAGGAUUAGUGCUGGAAAGCUUUUUCCUUGAAACGUAAGGUCUAAGGAUGAGUCGGCGGCUGAUUAGGCUGUUGGUGAGGUAAUGGCUCACCAAACCGAGAAUCAGUAGGGGAGAUGAGAGUCUUGGCCCCGAGAAGGACACUGAGAUACUGGUCCUAGCCCUAAGGGGUGCAGCAGUCACGGAACCUUUACAAUGCGCGAAAGCGUGAUAAGGGGAUUCCAAGUGCUUUGCCAAUGGUAAGGCUUUUGCCAAGUGUAAGGAGCUUGGCGAAUAAGUGGUGGGUAAGACCGGUGCCAGCCGCCGCGGUAACACCGUGCGCCACAAGUGGUAGCCAUUUUUAUUGGGUCUAAAGCGUUCGUAGCCCGUUUAGUAAAUUUUAUGUGAAAUCGUCUGGCUCAACCAAACGGUGUGCAUAAAACACUGCUAAACUUGAGACCGGGAGGAGUUAGAGGUAUUCCAGGGGGAGCGGUAAAAUGUUAUAAUCCCUGGAGGACCACCAGUGGCGAAGGCUUCUAACUAGAACGGGUCUGACGGUGAGGAACGAAGGCCUGGGGAGCAAAACGGAUUAGACACCCGUGUAGUCCUGGCUGUAAACGCUGUGUGCUGGGUGGUGCAAAUUCUCCGAGGAUUUGCAGCGCCUAAGUGAAGAUGUUAGGCACACCACCUGGGAAGUAUAGUCGCAAGACCGAAA
rnacentral:rRNA from 1 species